rnacentral:lncRNA from 1 species
GAUUCAGAUGUAAGUUUCUCCGGUGUGUUUCGUAUAGGAUCAGUCCUUGCUGGUUGUGAUGUUAUAGCUGUUCGGAGCUGCAACGAGAUAGAGGCGGAGUUCUUGAGGCUUGUCGGAGAGUUUCACGGCAAGCCUUGCCUUCCAAUAGGUUUACUGCCACCUGAUGAUCUUGACGCCACUUGUAGCGAAGAAGAUGAUACGUGGCUUACAACCAGAGAAUGGCUAGACAAGCAAAACAAAGGUUCUGUCGUUUACAUAGCAUUUGGAAGCGAGGCUGAACUGAGUCAACCUGAGUUAAACGAGUUGGCAUUUGGGUUGGAGUUAUCAGGGUUGCCUUUCUUCUGGGUUCUAAGGAAAGGGGACAACUCUGUCAAGUUACCAGAUGGAUUUAAAGACCGAGUUAAGGGACGUGGAAUGGUGUGCACGAGCUGGGCACCUCAACUCAGGAUAUUGGGUCAUGAAUCAGUCGGAGGAUUUUUGACUCACUGUGGUUAUGGUUCAGUUAUAGAGGCACUUUAUAGUGGACUUGCACUGAUUAUGCUGCCGAUCAAUAUCAUAGACCAGGGGUUAAUUGCAAGAGUUUUUGGAGAGAAGAAGGUGGGUGUAGAGGUGACAAGAGAUGAGUCAGAUGGGUCUUUUAUAAAAGAAUCGGUGGCUGAGUCGCUGAGGUUGGUUAUGGUUGAAAAGGAAGGAGAAGAAUAUAGAAAUAAUGCAAAGGAGAUGAGGAAGGUAUUUGCAGAUAAAGAUCUCCAUGAUCGAUACUUGGACCAUUUUGUUGAGUUUCUGCAAAAUCACUGAGUUCCCUUCAGGCGUGAACCCAGUUUUAUUCUCUUUUUUUUUUAGUCUAUUAAAAGCUUAAUUAAGAAAAAAAAAAAAGAGAGAGAAAGAAAAAGUGGGAGAUAAAAAUUGGUGGUGGUGCAUGUGUUUGUUUCAUGGCUUGAGUAGACUCUGUAGUGGUAGUGGUGAACGACCAUUGUUUACCGGCAAAUCAACCUAUUAAGUGUGGGCCAUUGGGCUUUAAUAAUUGCGUCGGCCAUCGAGCUUUAGUAAUUUUUUUUUCCCUAAAAAUAGCCGUAGUUUGGUAUAAGGGAAAUUUAUUAUUUAGUUUGUGUUAUUUGAAAAAUUAAUUAAUUAGUUUAAUUUUAAAAAAUAGAUGUUUGAGAAAAAAAAAUAGAGUGAAAAGAAUAUUUUUAUUAUUAUAGAAAAAUUUUUUAUUUAGUUUAUAAGUAUUUUCAUUAUUUAUAAGUCUCAACAUUUUCAAAACACAUCAAAACAUAACAUCUUCAAAGCACAUAUCAAAACAUAUAUUAAAAUUAUACAAGUAGGCAGAAUUUGAUAGAAUGGCUAUUUUAUUAAAAGAAAUAAAAAAUAAAAAUAUUUUAAUAAAUUUUUAAAAAUAUAAAAAUUAAUUUAUAAAUAAUAAUAAUAUCUAAGAAUUAAAUAAUAAAUUUUUCUAUAUAUCUCUUUUAUUUUUUACUGUAAUAUUUAUUUUUAAAUAAAUCGGUAAUUUUUUCCGACGAAUUAUUCCAAUGUUAAGUCCAAUGAUAAGUACAAAAAUUAUUAUGUGAACUUGUUUCAUCAUGGAUUUAACUAUCAAUCAGUAAAGGGACCACAUAGAAUUAAAUCAACCUGGAUAUUUGAUUUAAUUUAAUUAUCUCUUAUUCAAUUUUGUUUUUAACCUUCAAUAAAUUUAAUUUAUUCAAAAAUUUUUUAAUCAAAUGACCGAUUGAUACCCCAUAAUUCCUAUGCCUCUUUAUCUAAAAUGCCUAUAUAAAAUUCUGCAUGGGAGAGACUUUGUGCGUGUUGAAGGCUUUCCAUGGUCAGUUAGUGAGAAAUUCUUAAAAGGUGUUACUAAUGAUGCUGAUAUAUUUUUUUAGGAACAUUUAUAAUUUUAUUAUUUCAUUAAAGAAGUUAUAAUAGAAGGAAGUGAAUUAACAUACUAAACUCCUAAGACUAAUUCGGAGUGGGCACUCGUUGCUAACAAAUGGAUAACCAUAUAGACCUAUAUUUAAAAUAAUAUUUAGUAUCAACGAUCUUACUUGAAAGAGAUUUAUAAUCACUAACAAUCAAACCAAAGAAUGAUCUAGCGAUAAACUCUGAUAAAUAAAUUGAUUGAACAACUGAAGGGGCAUCCAAUUUUAUCAGAACCCGCUGCCAACCUUCACUCUUUAUCCAACUUAAAACUUCAACAAUGCCUAUAGUUUCUGUGUUUUUUUACUGAGAAUAAACCUGGAUAACUCCAGGCUUUAGCCACCACAGACUCCCUAUAUGAAAUAUGUACAACAGCACCUAAACUCACAAAACCCAGACUUGGGCCAGUAGAUGUGUAAUACCCGGCUAGACUCCGGUAUCGGAAUUCCUACCGUCCGGUGGAAUCUCGGAUUUCGGAAACCUCUAGAAGGGUAAAACCAUGUUUUCAUGAAAUGUUUUAAUGUAUUUUAUGGUUUUAAGCAAGAAAGAAAUUAAGUUUUGAAUGAAAAUAGUCUUGAGAGGAAGGUUCAGGUUCGUCCGCCGAACAUGCAUGCGCUUCGGGUGUGCCUUAGGCCCCCGAAAGCAUAGGUGAGGGGAGUUCAGGUUCGGCCGCCGAACCUUAUGUUCGGCCGCCGAACAUGACAUGCAUGCGGAGGCACGUUCGGCCCCCGAAUGUGGCCUGGCCAGCCACCUAUAAAAGGGUCCCUUAGCCGAAACGGGUGAACUUUUCUCCCCAUUUUCGGCCAAGGUGAGCUCUCCGCCAUCCUUCGUCGAUUUCAAGUUUCUUCCUUCAAAUCUUCCUGGAUUUUCACAAGUUUUCACUUUGUUUUGAAGAUUUUCGAGUAUAAAGCAAGUUUUGGAGUUUUGAGGUUCAAGAAACUCAAUCUCUCCCAUCUCCGAGCUAGGGUCGUUUUCCUCUCGAUCUUCAAGAGGUAAGGGCUGAUCUUGAGCUCACUAUAUGUUUUAAAUAAGUUUUAAGUUGUUUCAUGGGGUAGAAAUGUAUGUUUAUGUUAGUUGAGCAUUGUUAGGUUUUAUGUGUUUUAUGGACAAUGUAUGUUGGAGAUGCAUGUUUGAUGUGUUGUAGAUGGGGUUUAGGAUAGUUUGAAGCCCCUAGGAGCUGAUGUAUGUAUCUAUGCAUGUUUUGGAUGAGUUGUAUGCUUGAUUGAAUGAAAUGGGAGGCUUUUGUGCAUGAGGAGCCGAGUUUCUGCCCUUUUGGCAGAAACCAGGUUCGGCAGCCGAAGGACUUUCGGCCGCCGAACCUACCUGGGAGGCAGGCCUUUCGGCUGCCGAAGCUUGCCCCCGAAAAGAGACUUUCGUCUCUGGAGGGCACUUUCGGCCGCCGAAGGUGCCGCCGAACCUGCCUGACUUUCGGCUCUGGAGGGACUUUCGGCCGCCGAACCUGCCGUCGAAAGUGCCCUGUUCAGCCUUCCUUUGCAUGUUUUCUAUGGAUGUUUUGAGGUGUUUUAAGGGGGUUUUUGGGGAGUAUUUUAGAGUCAUGUUCAUGUUUGUUAGGUCCCUCAUUUGAGUCCACCUAUGUAGGUUCGGACCCGAGGAACCGAGGACCUCAGCAGUGAGAUAACUGCUUCAGAGUCAGUAGAGCUUCAGCCAGAGGUGAGUGAAACUAAACUUAAUGUUUUAAAUUGAGAAAUCAAAUGAAAGCUUUAGCAUGAUUCACGCAUCAUGAAUGCCAUGAGAUAUAUUAGGGUGCUUGCAUUAGUAUUCAUGAAUAUGUCGCAUUGCACAUUAUGUUGUUGAUGUGGAUGAAUGUUGAAUGAUCGAUUAGCCCUUAUAUGGUAUGAUAUGACAGACUAUGGAAGUCCGGGUGAGCCUGCACUACGCCCCUGGCAUGAUUAGACUGUAUAGAGGGCUAAGUGGUGACAAGUUCAUCCUUGAUGUGAAAUGUCUGUGUUGUGAUGCAUUCCAUGAUGUCAUAUGUUUUAAAUGCUAUGUUUUAUUAUUCUGCUCACUGGGCUCUAGUAGCUCACCCCUCUCCCUUAAUCCCCAGGUUUGCAGGUACAGGGUAGACCAGGAGGUCAGCAAGAGUAAUGAAGUCAGGGCCAUGUAAUAGCUAGAGUGAACAUGAUAGAUAUUGAUAUGUUAUGAUUAGUACAGACAUGUAAAAGUAUGAUAUAGAAAUGUUAUGUAAUAAUGCUUAUGAAGGUUUAGAGUGUGCUUGACUGUAGUGUAAUGUUAUUAAUCCCUUUUUAGAUACAUGAUCUUAAAUGAUUAUGGAUGAUUAUGUUUAAUCAAACUUAAUGCAUGAUAUUGUCACCCCAUUGGAGCAUAGAUGAGGACUCCAAGGUGGGGUUAAUGUUAAUGUCUAUGUAUAGUGCAUGCACAGGUUGAGUUUGGUUUAUGAAUGGAAAGAAAAGUUCAAAAUUUUUAUGUAUGUUGUUGAUCAUGUAUGGGAUUAAACAGGUUCACAGGUUGAUGUUUGGCUUGCUACGGGUCCCGGCGGCCUUAAGCCGAUCUGGAUCCUAGCGCCGGUAGCGGUCUGAUUUUCGGGUCGUUACAGAUUGGUAUCAGAGCCCUAGGUUCAUAUGGUCGGACCUAGAGUGUUGGGCUCAUAGAGGUUAUAGAAGGUCAAGGACAAUAGGAAAAUCAUGUCCACUAGGAUAGGAUGUAGAGUCCUAUCUUGAAUGAUGAUGUGAAAUGCCAUGGUUAUAUGCAUGUGCAUUAAUGAUAUGCUAUGUAUGUGAUGUAUGUGAUGCGGAUUCAUGUGUUCCCACAUGAACCAUAUGAUGCUAAUGUUAUAUGUGAUGUGUGCUGCUUUUCAGUAAAACAGGAUGAGAGGAACUCGUCGAUCUGCACGAUUGACUGGAGUACCACCCCAGGACGAGAGCACUGAUGCCUGUCCUCCUGCAUUGCCUAGGGCAAUGUCUAGUAGGUCCAGCAGAGAAAGAGCAGUAAGAGACCCUAGAAGGUCUUUGGAUCUAGGUAGAAGCAGAUCAGUGAGGGGAUCAGUACAAGGGGAUGUGUCAGAGGAUGUGGGGGAUCAGAUGGAUGUGGAUCAGAGUAGGGAUGGCAAUCUCGGAGUAAGUAUGUCGGAAGAGGGAAUGGGAGAGUCCCAAGGAGGCACUCAGGCCUCGGGAUUUGUUCAGCCACCUUAUUACCCACCCUUUUCACAUAAUCCCGGGUAUUUGAUGGUAGGUACAUCGAAUUACCCCAGUUUUAACCCUUAUCACUCUCAGAUGCCAUACCCACCUUUCUACCCACCGUACCCACAGUACCCCAUGUACCCACCCCCAUCUUUCUAUCCAGAUACAACAAACCCUGCCUCAGGGGAUGCUGCACCUCCUCCACCACCAGCAGCACCUACUGUCCCAGAAACCCAAAUGCCUAAGCCUAGCUCAUCUGGUGGGAGCAAGGUCAAGAUGACCGACUACAUGAAGUUGGGUGCUCCCCAGUUUGAAACCGGUGAUGACCCGUUUGUGUACCUUGAGAGGGUCAAGACAAUUACAGAUGAGAUAGGAGCUGAUGACAGUAGAGCCAUUCAGAUGGCUGGGUUCACACUAAAAUGCAAAAAGGCCCGAGAGUGGUUUAAGAAUUAUGUGAACCCGAGGUUGGAUAGUCUAUCCUGGGAGGAGUUUGCCAAUGAGUUUGCAGGAUGGGCUUUCCCUGACAGUUCCAGGGAGCUGAAAAUGAUUGAGUUUGAACAGUUGAGGCAGACAGAUGAGAUGAGUGUGGAUGAGUAUACAGACAGAUUCUUGGAGCUGUUGCCGUUUGCUGGGCAGAAUCUGGACACAGAUUAGAGGAAGUCAAGGAGGUAUAUCAUGAGGCUCCAUUCCAGGUAUUCCUCCUUGAUUCAGUCAGCAGAGAGGGAGAGUUUCCAUGCCAUAGUAGAUAUGGCUCGGAGGAUGGAGGCUAGUGCUAUCAUCGAAGGGAAAGUCAAGCAGUCAGUGGCACAGCCUUCUGGUUCCAAGACCCCAGGAGGGGGUAGGUUAGACCCUUCUUCUCUGAGUUCAGGCAGUAAGAAGUGGGACAGAGGCUCCCGGAAGUCCAAGUAGAACAAGUUCUGGAGCAAGAACAAGUCAGGUCUGGGAUUAGGAAGUGGCUCGAGCUCGGGUGCAGGUACUACAACAUGUAUGAAGUGUGGGAAGCCGCACAAGGGAGUAUGUCUGGUUGGGACGACAGCCUACUUCAGAUGUGUGCAGAAGGGACACAUGGCUCGAGAGUGUCCUAGAGUAGCUUCUAUGGUACAGUCUCAACAGACAGCUUCUGGUAGUGUGGCUCAGCCAGUAGCUCCAGCCGCGACUCAGGCUAGUGGCAGAGGCAGAGGCAGAGGAAGAGGGGCAGCCUCUUCUUCAGCGGGUUUCAGGGGUGAGGGUCCGUCAGCUCCAGCACGGAUCUUCACCAUGACUUAGCAGGAGGCAAACACAUCCAACACCGUGGUGUCAGGUAAUCUCAUCAUUGGUUGUUCUGAUGUGUAUGCAUUAAUGGACCCUGGUGCAUCUCAUUCUUUCAUUGCUCCGAGGGCCGUCGAGAGGUUGGGAUUGAUGGUCUCUGGGUUAGAGUGUCCCCUAUGGGUCAGUGGACCCAAGUGUGACCCGUCAGUGGCAGAGUCAGUUUGCCAGUAUAGUCCAAUUUUUAUAGAGGGAAGAUGCCUUUCUGCCGACCUUGUGGUUCUAGACUUGACAGAUUUUGACGUCAUUCUAGGGAUGGAUUGGCUAUCUACCCAUGGUGCUACCUUAGACUGCAGAGACAAGGUAGUCAAGUUCAGAUGUCAGGAUGGGUCAGAGGUUGUCUUCAGAGGAGAUAGGGGGAGUACACCUAGAGGUUUGAUAUCAGCCCUAUAGGCUCGUAGGCUACUCAGGAGGGGUUGUCAGGGUUUUCUAGCUCAUGUAAGAGAGCUGGAUAGUCAUGUCAGAGAGCCCGCCUCAGUGCCCGUAGUCAGUGAGUUCUUAGAUGUGUUCCCAGACGAGCUGCUAGGUUUACCACCUGCUAGGGAGAUAGAGUUCGAAAUUGAGUUGAUGCUUGGAACUAGACCGAUCUCUAUCCCUCCCUACAGGAUGGCACCAGUAGAAUUGAAAGAGCUUAAGGAUCAGUUGCAAGAGUUGGUAGAUAGAGGAUUCAUCUGACCGAGUACCUCACCUUGGGGGUGCUCCAGUGCUAUUUGUGAAAAAGAAUGAUGGAUCUCUCAGACUUUGUAUCGACUACAGGCAGUUGAACAAGGUCACUACCAAGAAUAAGUACCCAUUGCCAAGGAUCGACGAUCUAUUCGACCAGCUAGCCGGAGCAGGUUGUUUCUCCAAAAUAGAUAUGAGAUCGGGGUACCAUCAGCUAAGGAUAAGAGAAGAGGAUGUGCCGAAGACAGCCUUCAGGACCAGAUAUGGGCAUUAUGAGUUCCUUGUGAUGCCGUUCGGGUUAACCAAUGCCCCUGCAGCAUUCAUGGAUCUCAUGAACAGAGUUUUCAGUCAAUACCUGGAUCACUUUGUUAUUGUCUUCAUAGAUGAUAUCUUAGUGUACUCCAGGAAUGUAGAGGAGCAUGCCCAUCAUCUGAGGUUGGUUUUGCAGACCUUGAGGGGACAUGGCUUGUAUGCUAAGUUCUCCAAGUGUGAGUUCUGGCUGAGGAGCAUUUCAUUCUUAGGGCAUGUGGUGUCAGAAAAUGGAAUCGAGGUAGACCCCAAGAAAGUGGAAGCUGUAGCAAACUGGCCUAGACCCACUACUGUGACUGAGAUCAAGAGUUUCUUGGGUUUGGCAGGUUACUACAGGAGGUUCGUUCAGGACUUCUCUAAGAUUGCAGCUCCCAUGACCAGACUGACUAAGAAGAAUCAGAGGUUUGUGUGGACCGACCAGUGUGAAGAGAGCUUUGAGGAGCUAAAGAAGAGGUUGACUUCAGCACUAGUGUUAGCUCUGCCAUCUAGUAAUGAAGACUUCUCAGUCUAUUGUGAUGCGUCCCGUGUGGGACUGGGUUGCGUGCUAAUGCAGAAUGAAAGGGUGAUUGCUUAUGCUUCUAGGCAGCUGAAGAAGCACGAGUUGAAUUACCCUACACAUGACCUUGAGAUGGCAGCAGUAAUCUUUGCACUUAAGAUGUGGAGGCAUUACCUCUAUGGGGUUAAAUGUGAGAUCUUCACCGAUCAUAAGAGCCUGCAGUACAUCCUGAGUCAGAGAGAUUUGAAUUUGAGGCAGAGAAGAUGGGUAGAACUGCUCAGUGACUAUGAUUGCAAAAUUCAGUACCAUCCGGGUAAGGCGAAUGUUGUGGCAGACGCCUUAAGCCGGAAAUCACUUGGCAGUUUAUCCCAUAUUUCAGCAGAGAGGAGGCCAGUAGUAAGGGAAUUCUUCGAACUCUUGAAUGAAGGACUGCAGUUGGAGUUGUCUGGUACAGGUGCUUUAAUUGCCCAGAUGAGAGUGGCACCCGUGUUUCUGGAGCAGGUGGCUCAGAAACAGCAUGAGGACCCAGAGUUAGUAAAGAUUGCCAGGACUGUUUAGUCAGGCAAAGAUAGUGAGUUCAGAUUCGACAGUAAGGGGAUCCUCCGCUAUAGAAACAGAUUGUGUGUACCAGAUGACGUAGGGCUAAAAGGAGACAUUAUGAGGGAGGCUCAUAAUGCCAGAUACAGUGUUCACCCUGGAGCCACCAAGAUGUAUCAAGAUCUGAAGAAGGUUUAUUGGUGGCCAGCUAUGAAGAGAGAAGUGGCACAGUUUGUGUCAGCCUGCGAGGUAUGUCAGAGGGUGAAGCUGAAACAUCAGAAGCCAGCUGGAAUGCUUAACCCACUACCUAUUCCAGAGUGGAAAUGGGAGAAUAUAGCUAUGGACUUCGUGGUGGGGCUACCGGCGGCGUCCAACAGAUUGGACUCCAUAUGGGUGAUUGUGGACAGACUCACCAAAUCUGCUCACUUCAUCCCUGUCAGGAGUGGCUAUUCUGUGGACAAGUUAGCGCAGGUGUAUGUUGAUGAGGUUGUCAGGUUGCAUGGGGUUCCUGUUUCAAUAGUGUCUGAUAGAGGGCCCCAGUUCACCUCCAGGUUUUGGCGGAGUCUGCAGAAUGCUAUGUGUACCAGGUUGGAUUUUAGCACUGCUUUCCAUCCACAGACGGACGGACAAUCAGAGAGGACCAUCCAGACAAUAGAGGAUAUGCUCAGAAUGUGUGUGUUGGAUUUUGGCGGUUCUUGGAGGCAGCAUCUACCUUUAGUGGAGUUUGCCUACAAUAACAGCCAUCAUGCCAGCAUAGGGAUGGCCCCAUAUGAAGUUUUGUAUGGAAGGAAGUGCAGAUCACCUGUUUGCUGGGAAGAAGUAGGAGAAAAGGCCUUGGUGGGGCCUGAGCUAGUAGAGAUCACCAGCAGGGUGGUGCCCAUAAUUAGAGAAAGGAUCAAGACUGCUGCAAGCAGGCAGAAGAGUUAUGCAGACAUCCGCAGAAGGCAAGUAGAGUUUCAGGAGGGGGAUUUGGUAUUGCUCAAGGUGUCUCCAAUGAAAGGGGUGAUUCGGUUCAGAAAGAAAGGUAAGCUAGCUCCACGGUACAUCAGACCCUUUGAAGUCUUGCAAAAGAUUGGGAAUGUAUCGUACAAGAUGGAAUUGCCUGCUUCAAUGGAGAGAAUCCAUCCGGUUUUUCAUGUUUCUAUAUUGAGAAAGUUCGUGUCAGAUCCGGGCAAGGUUUUUAGUGAGCCUGAUGUGGAGAUCCAAGAGGAUCUCACCUAUGUUGAGCAGCCCGUACGGAUCCUAGACACCCAGAUCAGAAAGCUAAGGAACAAGGAAAUCCCGAUGGUGAAAGUCCUUUGGAAUCACCACAACAUUGAGGAAUGUACCUGGGAGACACGGGAGUCCAUGCUCCAACAAUAUCCUCAUCUCUUCUAAGGUGAGUUUUUAUGUGUUUUAUGUGAAUGUUUAUGUUUUAUGCUUUGUAUGAUCAUGUUUGAUGCCAUGCUAUGUUGUUUGGUGAACAUUCGGGGACGAAUGUUCUUAAGGGGGGAAGAAUGUAAUACCCGGCUAGACUCCGGUAUCGGAAUUCCUACCGUCUGGUGGAAUCUCGGAUGUCGGAAACCUCUAGAAGGGUAAAACCAUGUUUUCAUGAAAUGUUUUAGUGUAUUUUAUGGUUUUAAGCAAAAAAGAAAUUAAGUUUUGAAUGAAAAUAGUCUUGAAAGGAAGGCUCAGGUUCGGCCGCCGAACAUGCAUGCGCUUCGGGUGUCCCUUAGGCCCCCGAAAGCAUAGGUGAGGGGAGUUCAGGUUCGGCUGCCGAACCUUAUGUUCGGCCCCCGAACAUGGCAUGCAUGCGGAGGCAUGUUCGGCCCCCGAAUGUGGCUUGGCCAGCCACCUAUAAAAGGGUCCCUUAGCCGAAACGGGUGAGCUUUUCUCCCCAUUUUCGGCCAAGGUGAGCUCUCCGCCAUCCUUCGUCGAUUUCAAGUUUCUUCCUUCAAAUCUUCCUGGAUUUUCACAAGUUUUCACUUUUUUUUGAAGAUUUUCGAGUAUAAAGCAAGUUUUGGAGCUUUGAGGUUCAAGAAACUCAAUCUCUCCCAUCUCGGAGAUAGGGUCAUUUUCCUCUUGAUCUUCAAGAGGUAAGGGCCGAUCUUGAGCUCACUAUAUGUUUUAAACAAGUUUUAAGUUGUUUCAUGGGGUAAAAAUGUAUGUUUAUGUUAGUUGAGCAUUGUUAGGUUUUAUGUGUUUUAUGGACAAUGUAUGUUGGAGAUGCAUGUUUGAUGUGUUGUAGAUGGGGUUUAGGAUAGUUUGAAGCCCCUAGGAGCUGAUGUAUGUAUCUAUGCAUGUUUUGGAUGAGUUGUAUGCUUGAUUGAAUGAAAUGGGAGGCUUUUGUGCAUGAGGAGCCGAGUUUCUGCCCUUUUGGCAGAAACCAGGUUCGGCAGCCGAACCUACCUGGGAGGCAGGCCUUUCGGCUGCCGAAGCUUGCCCCUGAAAAGAGACUUUCGUCUCUGGAGGCCACUUUCGGCCGCCGAAGGUGCCGCCGAACCUGCCUGACUUUCGGCUCUGGAGGGACUUUCGGCCGCCGAACCUGCCGCCGAAAGUGCCCUGUUUAGCCUUCCUUUGCAUGUUUUCUAUGGAUGUUUUGAGGUGUUUUAAGGGGGUUUUUGGGGAGUAUUUUAGAGUCAUGUUCAUGUUUGUUAGGUCCCUCAUUUGAGUCCACCUGUGUAGGUUCGGACCCGAGGAACCGAGGACCUCAGUAGUGAGAUAACUGCUUCAGAGUCAGUAGAGCUUCAGCCAGAGGUGAGUGGAACUAAACUUAAUGUUUUAAAUUGAGAAAUCAAAUAAAAGGUUUAGCAUGAUUCACGCAUCAUGAAUGCCAUGAGAUAUAUUAGGGUGCUUGCAUUAGUAUUCACGAAUAUGUCGCAUUGCACAUUAUGUUGUUGAUGUGGAUGAAUGUUGAAUGAUCCAUUAGCCCUUAUAUGGUAUGAUAUGACAGACUAUGGAAGUCCGGGUGAGCCUGCACUACGCCUUCGGCAUAAAUGGAUAUGUAUGAUAUGCUAUGGAAGUCCAGGUGUGCCUGCACUACGCCCCUGGCAUGAUUAGACUGUAUAGAGGGCUAAGUGGUGACAAGUUCAUCCUUGAUGUGAAAUGUCUGUGUUGUGAUGCAUUCCAUGAUGUCAUAUGUUUUAAAUGCUAUGUUUUAUUAUUAUGCUCACUGGGCUCUAGUAGCUCACCCCUCUCCCUUAACCCCCAGGUUUGCAGGUACAGGGUAGACCAGGAGGUCAGCAAGAGUAAUGAAGUCAGGGCCAUGUAAUAGCUAGAGUGGACAUGAUAGAUGUUGAUAUGUUAUGAUUAGUACAUACAUGUAAAAGUAUGAUAUAGAAAUGUUAUGUAAUAAUGCUUAUGAAGGUUUAGAGUGUGCUUGACUGUAGUGUAAUGUUAUUAAUCCCUUUUUAUAUACAUGAUCUUAAAUGAUUAUGGAUGAUUAUGUUUAACCAAACUUAAUGCAUAAUAUUGUCACCCCAUUGGAGCAUAGAUGAGGACUCCAAGGUGGGGUUAAUGUUAAUGUCUAUGUAUAGUGCAUAAACAGGUUGAGUUUGGUUUAUGAAUGGAAAGAAAAGUUCAAAAUUUUUAUGUAUGUUGUUAAUCAUGUAUGGGAUUAAACAGGUUCACAGGUUGAUGUUUGGCUUGCUACGGGUCCCGGUGGCCUUAAGCCGAUCUGGAUCCUAGCACCGGUAGCGGUCUGAUUUUCGGGUCGUUACAAGAUGCAUCCACAUUGACCUUCAUCCAUCCUCCCGGUGGUCGUUGCCAUGAACGCAGGUGGUCUGAACUUGGUGUAGCAGGAGUAGCUGAGGAAGAAGCAUCAGCAACAGUCCAAUUUUGUAGGAACCUUGAGACCAUAUGGAAAAUUUGAGAGGCAGACUGUCCUUUAUGUUCCCACACAUUAGAGUUUCUAUUAGUCCACAAUGCCCAACAAACCAUGAGGAUUAAUUUGCAUUUAUCAAUAGAGGUUGAAACAAACAUAGCUAAGAACCAAUUCAUCAAUGAAUUCAUACCUGGAUACUGCCAUCCUACAUCAGUUUGCACCCAAACUUUUCGAGCAAAAGAAUAUUGAAUCAAACUCUUCCACAUUGACAAACUGGACAUACAUUAUAGACUUGCAUCUGACGUUGUUGAAGCAUAUCAAAACAAGGCACCACAUUCGAAAGUGCCCUCCAAAUAAAAUUAAGAACUUUAGGGGGCAUCUUGCAUUUCCAAAACUUGCUCCAAAGGCCCGAGAUAGAUGUAGAAGGAGAAGCAUAAGAACACUGCAGCUUAUAAGCACUUCUCACAAAAAAUUCUCUAUCUCGUUCAAGCUUCCAACUAAUGUAAUCCGACGCUAACGACCGCCUAGGUGGAAUUGAUAGAAUCUGUUGAACAUCUCGUUCAUUAAACACAAAGGCAGUGAUGCUGAUAUAUAAUCAACCAUGAAUUGCAUAGCUCUUCUCCAUUAAGAAGUUACCUAUUUGUUCGACAAAAUGCCUAAAUAAAUAUAAAUCAUCACCUUCUCUUCUAAUGUUUGUCGUUAAGGUAGCGUAAAUGGAUUUGGGUGAUUUGUCAAUUUGUUGAAAGAAGAUGAGGCUGCAUGUGAAAAGAUGCCAUUGAUAGAAAGGUGAGUGUACGUAGAUUCUUGUUGUUUUCUUAAACUUGUUGAAGAGCUAAUAUUCAAAUUUUUCAAAAAAGUUCAGAACUUCUGGACAAAAGAGCUCGGAACUUCUAGCAAGGGAUUAGAUGAUCACACCUGUGAUGAGGUGACGACCUAUUGACGGGGUGAUUUGCUGAAGGGCCAACCAGCUAGAAGGAAGGGUCGACCUGCCUGAUGGAAGCAGGAUUGAGUAAGACAGGCAUAAUGAAAGAAGGGUUGGAGUGCCUGGAAGCUCAAAAUGCAAGAAGGCUUCAAAGAGCUCAGAAAGUCUGACAGAAGAGAGAGUAUUAAGAGGAACGACAGCUUCAUUAAACAAACGGAAGGCAUUUUGAUAUUUUGAUUAUCAAAGGGUCAUCAUAUCUAUUAUUUAAGGAACAAAUGUUCCUCUAUUUUGUGUGUGAAUAAAGUGUGAAAAAGUGCGCAAAGUGAAAAAGCAUCAAGUUUAUUGUUUUUUACCAUUUAUUGAUCUGUAAUCGAGUUUGUACUCGUGUGUGGUUGUUCUCUUCUCUGUAACUCAUCAUGAAUAAAAGAUUCCCUCUUCUGAGACGUAGGACUAUUCUCAAAAGGUUGAUCUGAACUCGUAAAUCUCUCUUUGUUUUCUUCUUCUCUGUUUUUUCUUUCUUUUUUUAUUUUUUAUUUUAUCUUGUUUCUGUUACGCUGCUUACCGAAGAUCGCAUCCGCAUUUUUAUUUGAUAUUUGAGUAUCGAGAACUACAAGUGGUAUCAAAGCCAUAACAAGUGGUAUCAGAGCUACGAUUGCGAAUAUGAAAGUUCAUCGCCGAUCAAUUUUCUUAAAGCCUGGUUGAGAAAGUACUAGAGCUCCGAUUGCGAACAGGGAGGUUUGUCCCCUGUCUUUUCUUAAAACCUGGUUGAGAAAAGAAUGGUGUCGACGAUGUAGAAAUUUGAUGUUGAGAAGUUUGAUGGGAGAGGAGAUUUCAUGCUUUAAAAAGAAAAGAUCGAGAUAAGUCUCAAGAUCAUGGGGCUGCAAGAUGCUCUCAAUGAUGAUCCAGAAACAUGGAAUCUUGAGGAAGAAAAUGAAUCAAAGGAACUCAAAACUCCAUUCUAGAAAAAAAAAAAUCUUUCAGCUCCUGAAACCUCGGGAUCUUCUAGAGUUGCUUCAAUCAUCACCUUGGAUCAAGAAGCAAGAUCAAAAGAGAAAGAGAUUGAGGAGCCAGUUAAAUGGUCAAGAAGAGAAAGGAGUAAGAAGGCUAGAAACUUGAUAGUUUUGUAUCUUUCGGAUCAUAUUCUCAGAAAAGUGAUCCAUGAGAAGAGUACUUUUGGAAUCUAGAGACUACUGGAGUAACUCUACCUAAAAUAACCUUUACCUAAUAGAAUGUACCUAAUGCAGAGGGUUUCAGGCUUCAAGAUAUUCGAGUGCAAGACCAUUGAGGAGAAUUUGGACAUUUUCCAAAAGAUGUUGUCUGACUUGCAGAAUCUGCAGGUUAAGGUGGAGGAAGAAUUCUAAACAGUGUAUCUGUUGAAUUUUUUUGCCACCCCCUUAUGAACAGUUGAGGAAAGUUUUGAAGUAUUCAAGAACUAGUAUCACGGCUAAAAAGGUGAAGACUGCAACAAGGUCUAAAGAAGCAUAGCUCAAUGCUCAGAAGGAUACAAUAAAUCAGGGUAAAAGUCUAGUAGUAAGGGGAUGAUCUAAGUAUAGAGACAACAAGAAUAAGGGCAAGAAAAAAUUAAGGGCAAGAUCAAAGUUUAAGAGCAAAGCAUAAUGCUGAUAUUAUAGCAAGAAAUGUCAUUUUAAGAAGGAUUUCUACUUGAGGAAAAACAAUCAGAAGGGUUCUCAAAAUAAGAAGGGUGAAGCAGCAAUUACCAAUAAUAAUAUACAAGAUUCAGAAGUUUUAACUGUAGAAACUUUAAAGAUAUUAUUUAUCAUUGAAUCAAAAAUUAAAAACUAGUGGAUAUUAAAUUUUGGUUGUAUAUUUAGCAUGACCUCGAAAAAGGAAUGAUUUGCAAGAAAGUGAAAUUAUAAUAAAAUUAAAAGGAUGAUUUGUCUAAUGAUUAUCUAUUAUAUUAAUUAAAUUCUAAUUUAAUUUAUAUCUUUAUUAAAUUACUUUGAAACCCACUUUGAUUAUUAAUAUAAUUUAGAAAACGUGUCUGAUAAAACAUCUUGAAAAAAAUUUUAAAAAAUUUUAAAAAAUUUAAUUUAUUAUUUUGAUAUUUUUAAAAUUAAAUCAUGUUAAACAUUAUUUUAAAUUAAUUUUUAAUAUUUUAUAAUUAAUAUAUUUUAUAAUAUUUUAAAAAAUAAAAUUAAUAUUAAAUAAUAAAUAUAUUAGACAGAUUUAAACAAAAUUAUUUGAGAAUAAUUUUAAUCAAAAUAAAAUUAAAAUAAAUUAUUAUUUUAAAAUUAUUAAUAAAAAUUUAAAAAAUAAAUAAUAAUAUAAAAGUAAUUUUUAAGGAUGACUUAACAAUUUUAUUAAUUUUCACUUAUAUUGAUAAAAGUAAGUUGCAUUUAAAAUGUGACAAUUUAGUUAGAAAAGAAAAAAAUAGUGGAAGGUAUAAUUGCAACAAACAUCACACCCCACUCCCACUACAAUAUCUUAACGUCUAUAAGCGGAAGGUUUGCUUUCGGAGGAUCACCCCUAUCACCAACUCACCAUGAGUGAACCUAAAAAGCUUCACAUCGCUCUGUUUCCGUGGCUGGCAUUUAGUCAUAUAAUCCCAUUCUUUGAGCUUGCCAAGCACAUUGCCCAAAGGGGCCAUAACAUCUCCUUCAUAUCUACUCCUAGAAACAUCCAACGAUUACCCAAAAUCCCUUCAAAUUUGGCACCGCUUAUCGAUUUAGUGAGCCUCCAUUUACCCACUGUUAAACAUCUUCCACGGGAUGCAGAGGCUACCAGUGACUUGACUUCCCAGAAAGUUCCAUACCUCAAGAUUGCCUACGACGGCCUCCAAGGCCCUCUUCUUCAGUUCUUGAAAACUUCUUCGCCAGAUUGGAUCAUUUGCGACUUUGCUCAGUACUGGUUGCCUCCCAUGGCUUCUAAUCUUGAGAUCUCGCUUGCCUUCUUCAGUAUUUUAGGUGCAUGGAGUGUAUCUUUCUUUGGAUCAUCAUCGUCUGCCAUGAUUAAGGGUGAGGAUCCACGGUCUCAGCCAGAAGAUUUCACUGUAGUUCCUGAGUGGAUCCCUUUUCCAUCCAAGGUUGCAUUUAAGCUCCACGAGGCGAAGCAUUUUUCAAGCUGAGGUAAAAGAUUCAGAUGUAGGCGUCUCUGAUACGUUUCGUGUAGGAUCAGUUCUUGCAGGUUGUGAUGUUAUAGCUGUUCGGAGCUGCAACGAGCUAGAGGCGGAGUUCUUGAGGCUUCUCGGAGAGCUUCACGGCAAGCCUUGCCUUCCAAUAUGUUUAUUGCCACCUGAUGAUCUUGAUGCCACUUGUAGCGAAGAAAACGAUACGUGGCUCACAAUCAGAGAGUGGCUAGACAAACAAAACAAAGGUUCCGUGGUAUAUGUAGCAUUUGGAAGCGAGGCGGAACUGAGUCAACCUGAGUUAAACGAAUUGGCACUUGGGUUGGAGUUGUCAGAGUUGCCAUUCUUCUGGGUUCUUAGGAAACAGGACAACUCGGUGGAGUUACCAGAUGGAUUUAAAGACCGAGUUAAGGGACGAGGAAUGGUGUGGACGAGCUGGGUACCUCAACUCAGAAUAUUAGGUCAUGAAUCAGUAGGAGGAUUUUUUACUCACAGUGGUU